AAAAUUAGAAACCUAGUGCUUGUGGACCAGGCUUGUACAGAGCUGCUGCCAUUUGUCAGUGCUGGCUGUGGAGGACACACUCCUGCAACAUGAAGAACAACUGAAAGAAACCAGGAAACAAAAGCAAAGCUGAAAAACUGAAGGAGUAUGUUUGUAGCAGCAGCUGCUGCAGAGUUGAAAAAAAAAAAAGAACUCCAGUGAGAGGCAGAAGAUGUUCCCUGGAAAAGCACUUCAACCAGCCUGGGAACAGCACAAGAUACUUCUGGCCGUGCUGCAGCCAGAGAACAGGAGACCAGCAGGUACCAGUCUACAGCUGGGGCACAAUAAAACCCUUCUACAAGCUGAGCCAAGAAUAAUCUUCUUUAAAAGCGCUUUACUACUUGCAAAUGUUGUUGCUCUUGUCCAAGUGUUUUGUAUUUGCUUCAGUGCAGUUCCAUUUUUUUUUCUUUUGAGAUAAUUAGGGGCUUAUUUUAAACCAAAGGGUAUUUCUGGGAGUUCUUUGGGUUUUUAAAUUAUACAAAUGAUAGCACUGUGAUGUUGAAUCAUAUUAUUAAUUGUAUAUUUUGUUGUUCUUAUUUCUGAAGUAUGUGUGAAACAAAGUUUUUUAUUUCUCAGUCCUUGAAUACAAUAAGUUUCAAAAAAGUCCUUAGGCGGAUUGCAAAAUUAUUUUUCUCAAUUUUCUUAAUGUUAAACAAAAGUAUAAUUUUAUUACUGCAGAGUAUUAUGCGCUGAUAGUUUAACAACAUUGUGUAUGCACUGUGAAUAGAAGAAACUUCACAAAUGAUUGUACUUAAAGCUGGAGCCCUUUCUGUAAAUUUUAAACAAAGAGUUCUAUUAAAUGCCAUCUAUAAAAUGCUUGAUGACUUACCUCCUAGGCUGAUUUGUGAUUUUUCCUGUGCUUUUGAAUACCUACCUGGAUGAAAAACUCUCUUUCUACAGGAAACUGGUUGGUAACUGAAUAAAUAACACUAUAAUUUAAGUAUUGAACACUUCCACAUAAUAAGUGUUAUUUUGCAAUAGAUUCUUCUUGCUGUAGCAUAAAAUGGAAGUACUCUUUCUAUAAAUAAAUAAUACUUGGAAUAAAAGCGGUUUGCAAACAUUAUACUUAAUUUAUGUCUCAGCUGCCGAUUUCUGCAGUGAAUUCUACCAGUUUUCACACUGUGCCCAUUACAAAUGGAAUUGCCUUUGCAUUAGAAGACAUGUCUUUCAAUGACGCAGAAAAAUAUAUUUGUGCUUCAUUCUUAUGUUAGCUGGGUAAGAAUACAUCUGUCAUACAACAUCCAACUCAAUAAAAUAAAAAAACUGA